CUCUGGAUAUAAAGCCACAUCUCUCUUGUCCUCUCUCUUUUCUUCUUAGUGACAAGAAGAGUAAUUUUCUCUGCAGCCUGACAUCUGAAAUUCUGCCUAGCUCUCACUAAAGAUAAGCAAGUUUCCAGCCCUGGAAGAUUUGGGAGAACACAAGGCGUGCCAGCAGGCUUAUUCCUCAUCUACUUAAUGUCAUUCUGGGUCAGCUGGCAGUUGAUGCUCACUAUAUGGUUGGUUUCUCUGAGAGAAGACACUUCAGCAAAUGUCUGAGGGGCCUCACCACCCUAUCCCUAAGCACACGAAGUGAGUUAUACAAUGGUUCAUAAAGAGAAUUACAAAUUGUGCUCUUCCAUCCCAGGGCUAAAACAGCAGGAAGCAGAGGAGCAGUAGCCCAGCUCUUACAGAAACUCCACUCCUUUACUGGCACCAGGGACCUUCACCAUUCAUAAGCACAUUGCCUCACUUGGUUCGAAGUAUAGCUUGUUCUGCAGGACAUGUGUGCAAACUGGUGCUUAUUUAGAAACAGAGAUCCUGGGUCUGUUGCCAUCUGAUCCCCAGAACUGAACAGCCUGACAUAUGCAGACUCCGGACAGUUUCUGAAAGGAAAACAGGUGUGCUUGCAUUCUGGUAAGGAUUUCCAUUAUGCUCAUAGCUGAAAAUUCAGAUUGGGUCAUUAAAUUUUUCAGCCAGGCGGAGUCACAAAAAAACCACCCACACACAAAAUAAAUAGGUCAGACAAACCAAGAAAAAAAAAAAGGGCUUUUUGAAGAAAAAAGGAGACUUUGUCAAGGAGAGUGUUUAAUGAGAGCAUGAGUUAGACAGAAAAGACAGCAUAUGAUUAGGAAAAAGCUAAGCCACUGCCUUUUGGGUGUGUCCUGAGUCAAAGCAUCUCCGACUCUGACCCACUGAAACUACUGAAUCUUUUCCAAGCAGGUAUGAAAAUGCAGUUUUGUGUCCUGUUAGUUUCAAUUCUUGUUUCAGAGUAGCAGAAACCUCACCAGCCAAUUGUUAUUAUAAAUAAUUUCCUUCCGGCGUUGAUUUCCGUUAGUAUUUAUCAAUGCAGUCAGCCCAAAUGGUGCGACAGCAAGCCACAGAAGUGGGGAAGUAGAUGGGCCCUGGCAAUCAGAAAGCACGCUUUCUCUCAACAACUGUCAUUUGUGACUCUUUGGUAACUAGAUGCAAUCAACAAUAUCAGCUCUCUGGCUUGUGGUGAUCUUACUUUGAAAUGGUGUGGAAUGUAACAGUGGGCAACCAUGUUCUUCCGGGGUAUGGGCUGGGCUCCGUAGCUCCUAACAAUUACUUGUAGUUUUCCCCAUUGUUUUCUUUACCAUUGCUCUUACUCCUAUUAUUCACAUUCUCUCACUUUUUCUAUUAUUCUGAUAAGUCUUGUUUCUGUUAAUGGGACCUAGAGUAAACAAAACAAACAAACAAACAAAAAACAAAGUCUGUGGAACUAUUGAAGAGGCUACUGUCUGUGACCUUCAGAGAAGAUGAUACAGAAAUGGAGAAUUCGUGAGGGCAGAUGUCAGAGUACCCUGAGCAGAACAAAGCACUCAAUAAAUGUGGCUGUGCAGCAUAUUGUGUGUAGUUGAAAACAUGUCUCUUGAGUUUUCAGGUAAAAUUUACCAACAAUGCUGAGGUACUGUUACCCCUCCACCAGCAGCUUUCCCCAAUCUUCCUCAAGCACAAGGAGAAUUUUGCUUCUAGAACAUCACAGCUUGGACUACUUCGGACCAGCCUCCCAAUCGGUGAAGCCAAAGGAACGAAGUAGGAACAGACCCAGAAAAUUGUUUUGAUGUCCUAAACUCAUUCAAAACAGAUUAAAUUCAUGCUGCCA